rnacentral:lncRNA from 1 species
UUAUUUGUUUUAUUAAUUUAUAUGCAUUGUAGCAUGUGGCAACCUACGAUUCUACUAGUACUAGUUUUAGAUAAAAUGAAGGCGCUAACAUGCUGUCAGUUUGGCAUCCACCACUACCUUAAAAAGAAUUAUAUAAUUUUUUUGGCAUCCACCACUGGUGGUACGCAAAAAUCUCCUGUCCUCACGACAUUCCUAAAUAAAGAAAGCUCCUUCCUGACGCUCCAUGAC